rnacentral:rRNA from 1 species
UGGACCUGCGGUGCAUUAGCUAGUUGGUAGGGGUAAACGGGCCUACCAAGGCGAUGAUGCAUAGCCGAGUUGAGAGACUGAUCGGCCACAGUUGGGACUGAGACACGGACCCAAACUCCGUACGGGAGGCAGCAGUAGGGAAUCUUCCACAAUGGACGCAAGUCUGAUGGAGCAACGCCGCGUGAGUGAAGUAAGGGUUUCGGCUACGUAAAGCUCUGUUGUUGGUGAAGAAGGACGAGGGGGUAGUAACUGACCUUUGUUUGACGGUAAUCAAUUAGAAAGUCACGGGCUAACUACGUGCCAGCAGCCGCGGUAAAU